rnacentral:RNase_P_RNA from 1 species
UGAGUAAGCUAUGCGGUAGCAUGAACGCUUUAGUUUAUGAGGAAAGUCCGGGCAUCACAGGACAGGAUAGCUGUUAACGGCAGCCGGGGGCGACCCUAGGGCUAGUGCAACAGAGAUAUACCGCCCUGCUUUUGCAGGGUAAGGGUGGAAAGGUGAGGUAAGAGCUCACCAGAGUACAGGAGACUGUGCUGCUAUGUAAACCCUAUCCGGUGCAACGUCUAUUGGUGCAGUUCAUCAUAACACCUGUCCGGUGGAUGGACUGUAAUGACGGCUUGAAGUCUGCGGCGACGCAGAUUCUAGAUAAAUUACCGCACACGACAGAACCCGGCUUAUCGGCUUACUCAUUAU